rnacentral:rRNA from 1 species
GAUGAACGCUGGCGGCGUGCCUAACACAUGCAAGUCGAACGGAAAGGCCAUGAUUUUGCGGGGUGCUCGAGUGCCGAACGGGUGAGUAUAACGUGUGUAUACUGUACCUGUCAUUGGGAUAAAAUCUGGGAACACGGGAUAAAACCGGAUAGGAGAUCCUGAAGCGCGGGGGGGAAUGGAAAGAGUCGGCGGUUGUGGAUGGAAUAGAGGCUUAGCAGCUUGUUGGUGGGGUAGGGGAUUACCAAGUGUUAGACGGGUAGCCGGCCUUGGAGGUGGACCGGCCACAGUGGGACUGAGGGACGGCGCAGUAUGCUACGGUGGGCAGCAGGGGGGAGCAUUGCGCAAUGGGCGGAAGCCUGAUGCAGCAGCGCCGCGUUCGUGAUGACGUCUUUCUAGUUGUAAACCUCUUUCGCCUGUGACGAAGCGUGAUUGACGGUAAUGAGUAAAGAAGCACCGGCUAACUACGUG